rnacentral:rRNA from 1 species
CCGUAAGUGACAUUUGAUCCUGGCUCAGUGUAACCUAGCAAGGUAGCCGAAGAGGGGAGAGUUGGAGACUGAUGCCUAGGGAUCUGCCCGGUCGAGGGGGAUAACAGUUGGAAACGACUGCUAAUACCGCAUACGCCCUACGGGGGAAAGGAGGGGACCUUCGGGCCUUUCGCGAUUGGAUGAACCUAGGUGGGAUUAGCUAGUUGGUGAGGUAAUGGCUCACCAAGGCGACGAUCCCUAGCUGUUCUGAGAGGAUGAUCAGCCACACUGGGACUGAGACACGGCCCAGACUCCUACGGGAGGCAGCAGUGGGGAAUAUUGCACAAUGGGCGAAAGCCUGAUGCAGCCAUGCCGCGUGUGUGAAGAAGGCCUUAGGGUUGUAAAGCACUUUCAGUAGGGAGGAAAGGCAGUUGUUUAAUAAACAACUGCUGUGACGUUACCUACAGAAGAAGGACCGGCUAACUUCGUGCCAGCAGCCGCGGUAAUACGAGGGGUCCAAGCGUUAAUCGGAAUUACUGGGCGUAAAGCGUACGCAGGCGGUUCAUUAAGCUAGAUGUGAAAUCCCCGGGCUCAACCUGGGAAUUGCAUUUAGAACUGGUGAACUAGAGUCUUGUAGAGGGGGGUAGAAUUUCAGGUGUAGCGGUGAAAUGCGUAGAGAUCUGAAGGAAUACCGGUGGCGAAAGCGGCCCCCUGGACAAAGACUGACGCUCAUGUACGAAAGCGUGGGGAGC